rnacentral:rRNA from 1 species
UUGACCUCGGAUCAGGUAGGACUACCCGCUGAACUUAAGCAUAUCAAUAAGCGGAGGAAAAGAAACCAACAGGGAUUGCCCCAGUAACGGCGAGUGAAGCGGCAACAGCUCAGAUUUGGAAUCUGGCCCCCAGGGCCCGAGUUGUAAUCUGGAGAGGAUGCUUCUGGCGCGGCGCCUUCCGAGUUCCCUGGAACGGGACGCCGGAGAGGGUGAGAGCCCCGUACGGUUGGACGCCUAGCCUUUGUGAAGCUCCUUCGACGAGUCGAGUAGUUUGGGAAUGCUGCUCAAAAUGGGAGGUAAAUUUCUUCUAAAGCUAAAUACCGGCCAGAGACCGAUAGCGCACAAGUAGAGUGAUCGAAAGAUGAAAAGCACUUUGAAAAGAGGGUCAAACAGUACGUGAAAUUGUUGAAAGGGAAGCGCCCGUGGCCAGACUUGUGCCCCGCGGACCACCCGGCGCCCUCAGCGCCGGUGCACUCCGCGGGGCGCAGGCCAGCAUCGGUUUUCCUAGGGGGAUAAAGGCGGCGGGAACGUGGCUCCUUCGGGAGUGUUAUAGCCCGUCGUGCCAUGCCCCUGGGGGGACCGAGGACCGCGCUUCGGCAAGGAUGCUGGCGUAAUGGCCACCGGCGACCCGUC